rnacentral:rRNA from 1 species
UACGUAGGGAGCAAGCGUUGUCCGGAUUCAUUGGGCGUAAAGCGCGCGUAGGUGGCCUCAUAAGUCCGCUGUGAAAGUCAAAGGCUCAACCUUUGAAAGCCGGUGGAUACUGUGGGGCUAGAGUACGGAAGAGGCGAGUGGAAUUCCUGGUGUAGCGGUGGAAUGCGCAGAUAUCAGGAGGAACACCAAUAGCGAAGGCAGCUCGCUGGGACGUUACUGACGCUGAGGCGCGAAAGCGUGGGGAGCGAACAGG